GAAGAGUGUAGACACAGAGGGCUUGGCUAGGACGAGGAUGAAGUAGGUCGCUGAACCGCCCGCCGGCUUGUGGUAGCUCUCUAGGCGGGCAGUUAAAGGCUGCGGUCGGCUGCCAGAGCUCCUGGAUGUGGGGCCUGAAUUAGCAGAGGACCUGGCGAGCGCUGAAUCCGGUCUCAGAGAAGAUACGCCGGUAAAGACUAUGGCUUCCACUCACUCCUUUGUGCCUCCUGGUGUUUACCCACAUGUCCUUGCAUGAUGUGGUGAGCCUCCCCUCUCAGGAAAUGAGCAGUGAUUCAACAAGAAAAUAUGGACCAGUUCCUUUAAUGAGAUAUCCGGACCAGUUAAGAAGCUCCUGCA